CUAAAGGUUCUGUGAGACACAGGGAAAUGGUUAGAAAUUGGUGGCAAAGAGCAGUUUCCUUUUCUCAUAGACCCCAACACUGGUAUUUCACUAUAUGAAAGUGGUGACAUUGUGAAGUAUCUAUUUCAGCAAUAUGGUAAUGGAAGAAGCCCCUCGAUAGGCCUUUUAGAAAGGUUUUAUAUCUUAAUCAAUAAUCUUAUAACUGUCAGGUGUAAAUUGUAAGAUUGAAUUAGAUGGUACUUAUUGCUGCUAAAUGUCAUGCUUUGAUUUUAUAAUCAGCAAUUUGUACAUGUCUCACAAGCCUAUACAUAUUUUCUAGAACACAAAAAGAAAAUAUGUACAUAGAGUGUACAAACCAUUAAUUACAUUAAUUACAUAGAGUGUAUUUUACUCUAAUACCCUUUAACACACAUACUCUUUAACAAAUCUUAAAAUACUGAAGUAAAUGUGGAUGCAAUUAUCUGAGAAGCUGGUU